UACGUAGGUGGCAAGCGUUGUCCGGAUUUACUGGGCGUAAAGGGCGUGCAGGCGGUCUGUUAAGUGCAGGGUGAAAGCUUCCGGCUCAACUGGGAGAGGUCCUUGCAUACUGGCGGACUUGAGGGGGGUAGAGGAAAGUGGAAUUCCCGGUGUAGUGGUGAUAUGCGUAGAUAUCGGGAGGAACACCUGUGGCGAAGGCGGCUUUCUGGGCCAUACCUGACGCUGAGACGCGAAAGCGUGGGGAGCGAACCGG
rnacentral:rRNA from 1 species